rnacentral:rRNA from 1 species
CUCCUACGGGAGGCAGCAGUGGGGAAUUUUGCGCAAUGGGGGAAACCCUGACGCAGCAACGCCGCGUGAAGGAUGAAGGCUUUCGAGUCGUAAACUUCUGUCCUCAGGGAAGAAGGAAGUGACGGUACCUGAGGAGGAAGCCCCGGCUAACUCCGUGCCAGCAGCCGCGGUAAUACGGGGGGGGCAAGCGUUGUUCGGAAUUACUGGGCGUAAAGGGCGCGUAGGCGGCCUGAGAAGUUCUGGGUGAAAGCCCCCGGCUCAACCGGGGAAGUGCCUGGAAAACCAUCGGGCUGGAGUGCUGGAGAGGCCGGUGGAAUUUCUGGUGUAGCGGUGAAAUGCGUAGAUAUCAGAAGGAACACCUGAGGCGAAGGCGGCCGGCUGGACAGACACUGACGCUGAGGCGCGAAAGCCAGGGGAGCAAACGGGAUUAGAUACCCCGGUAGUCCUGGCUGUAAACGUUGGGUACUUGGUGUGGGGGGUGGAGAAGUCCCUCCGUGCCGGCGAAAACUCGUUAAGUACCCCGCCUGGGGAGUACGACCGCAAGGUUGAAACUCAAAGGAAUUGACGG